UACGUAGGGAGCAAGCGUUGUCCGGAAUCAUUGGGCGUAAAGCGCGCGUAGGCGGCCCGAUAAGUCCGCUGUAAAAGUCAACGGCUCAACUGUUGAAGGCCGGUGGAUACUGUCGGGCUAGAGUACGGAAGAGGCAAGUGGAAUUCCUGGUGUAGCGGUGGAAUGCGCAGAUAUCAGGAGGAACACCUAUAGCGAAGGCAGCUUGCUGGGACGUUACUGACGCUGAGGCGCGAAAAGCAUGGGGAGCGAACAGGGAU
rnacentral:rRNA from 1 species